rnacentral:rRNA from 1 species
CUACGCACUCCUACGGGAGGCAGCAUGGGGAAUAUUGCACAAUGGGCGCAAGCCUGAUGCAGCCAUGCCGCGUGUAUGAAGAAGGCCUUCGGGUUGUAAAGUACUUUCAGCAGUGAGGAAGGUGGGUAUGUUAAUAGCAUACUCAUUUGACGUUAGCUGCAGAAGAAGCACCGGCUAACUCCGUGCCAGCAGCCGCGGUAAUACGGAGGGUGCGAGCGUUAAUCGGAAUUACUGGGCGUAAAGCGCAUGCAGGUGGUUUGUUAAGUCAGAUGUGAAAGCCCGGGGCUCAACCUCGGAAUUGCAUUUGAAACUGGCAAACUAGAGUACUGUAGAGGGGGUAGAAUUUCAGGUGUAGCGGUGAAAUGCGUAGAGAUCUGAAGGAAUACCGGUGGCGAAGGCGGCCCCCUAGACAGAUACUGACACUCAGAUGCGAAAGCGUGGGGAGCAAACAGGAUUAGAUACCCUGGUAG